GAAUGAAUUUAUUUGACAUUGUGAUAGAAAUAAAUAUUAUUUUUCAUGACGAUUGUUAUAUUAAAGCAAUGUGAUUAGAUCGAAAAUUAUUUUACCUCAGUUAUGUGAAGAAGAACUGGUUUUGGUCCAUUUGUACAUUCAAAAAGUUCACUUUUAAAGGCAUUAAUAUUGAACUCUAUUUUUUCAAAAAGAAAAUUUAGAGCCCAUGUUGCAAUCAGACUUCUCCAAAACAUUUUAAGAAUAUAGGAGACAUUUCAUCAUAAUGGAAUUUUAAUUGUAAAAGGUAAAGUGAGGACCAUAUAUGAAAAAACGACGUUAUGGUAAGACAUAAUUCGGGACUUAGUAUAUUAUCUGAUAAAACAGACAUUGCAGCCUUUUCUAUGGCACACAGACAGAAAAUGAUUGCGACUAAACGAAUAACAUGAUCUACUAAUUCUGUAGUAAUGUUGAUGGAUGAAAUAUUUUCUGAUGAAGCGAAGAAUUGUAAUGUAAGACUCAUAUCAACCUUUCCUUGUCUUAUCUAUGAAGGAGUACAUUAUUCUUUAUAAAGAUAUACAUAUAUUAUUAUAAAGCAGAAUUAUAAUUUAUGUCAUACA